rfam:Rattus norvegicus chromosome 4, whole genome shotgun sequence.
GGGGAUUUAUCUCAGUGGUAGAGUGCUUGCCUAGCAAGCGCAAGGCCCUGGGUUCGAUCCCCAGCUCCG